GGUCUUGUAGCUUAGUUGGUUAGAGCGUUGGUCUUAUGAGUUGAAGGUUGCGGGUUCGAGCCUCGCUAAGACCA
rfam:Ipomoea nil DNA, scaffold: scaffold2144, cultivar: Tokyo-kokei standard.